GAUGAACGCUGGCGGCGUGCCUAAUACAUGCAAGUAGAACGCUGAAGCAUGGUGCUUGCACCGAGCGGAUGAGUUGCGAACGGGUGAGUAACGCGUAGGUAACCUGCCUGGUAGCGGGGGAUAACUAUUGGAAACGAUAGCUAGUACCGCAUAACAGUAGAUAUUGCAUGAUAUCUGCUUGAAAGGGGCAAUUGCUCCACUACCAGAUGGACCUGCGUUGUAUUAGCUAGUUGGUGAGGUAACGGCUCACCAAGGCGACGAUACAUAGCCGACCUGAGAGGGUGAUCGGCCACACUGGGACUGAGACACGGCCCAGACUCCUACGGGAGGCAGCAGUAGGGAAUCUUCGGCAAUGGACGGAAGUCUGACCGAGCAACGCCGCGUGAGCGAAGAAGGUUUUCGGAUCGUAAAGCUCUGUUGUAAGAGAAGAACGAGUGUGAGAGUGGAAAGUUCACACUGUGACGGUAACUUACCAGAAAGGGACGGCUAACUACGUGC
rnacentral:rRNA from 1 species